GGUCUCCCCCUACUUUUCUUUGUUGAAAUCCUAGCGGAGAGCAAAUGAUUAUUAAAAUAAUUAAUGUGUAUGACAGCCUGUGUGCAGCUGGCCUGGACAACUAGGCUACCUUACUGGUGUUGCCCAUAUCUGUUUCCCUUUCUUGUUUGUGUUUGCUCUUUUUUAAGCGUAUCCUGCUGAUCCUGUUGACGGGACAAGCGGCAAUGCAUGCAAACUGGAACACAUGACAUUUUUUCUGAGCAUAAGAAAACACCUAUUUUAUGAUGAGGGCUGCCCAGAGAGUUUGUGAUGUCUCCUAUUUGUGGAGAUCUUCAAAACAUGACACAGUCCCAGGAAUCCUGCUCAGUAUGCACUGCCUGAGAAAGAGGGCUGACCUCCUGGCCACAGUGUGAGCUUCUCUCUUCCCAUUAUUGCAGUGCCUGAUGGUUGUUGUUAACAUAUCAUCUGCACAAGGAAGCAGAUUUGCUCCUUUGAAACUGCAAUUCUGAAUGCAGAAUGACUUUAUGUUUGAAAUCUGUUGUUUUCUACCUAUUAAAUCAUGACACAAAUCUAAUUCUCACUUUGAAAUGCAGACACAUCUGCAAUUAAGUUUGCACAGGUCAUUCUUAGAGUAAAAGCAGUACAUACUCUUCAGUUGCAUUUUUACCUUGCAGAAAGCUGCCUGCACUUCCAGUGUGGCCCACAAUCCCAAAAAAGCUAU
ensembl:lncRNA